UACGUAGGGGGCAAGCGUUGUCCGGAAUCAUUGGGCGUAAAGAGCGUGUAGGCGGCUCGGUAAGUCCGCUGUGAAAGUCCAGGGCUCAAUCCUGGAAUGCCGGUGGAAACUGUCGAGCUAGAGUCCGGAAGAGGCGAGUGGAAUUCCUGGUGUAGCGGUGAAAUGCGCAGAUAUCAGGAGGAACACCAAUGGCGAAGGCAGCUCGCUGGGACGGUACUGACGCUGAGACGCGAAAGCGUGGGGAGCAAACAGG
rnacentral:rRNA from 1 species